GUUAACUCAACCUGACCAUCUGCAGUAAAGGUAAUAGAGGCCUGGAGCCGGGAGAGAACAUCUGCACCUAGGAGGUUAAUGGGGCAAGUAGAGGAAACAACAAACCGGGACAGAAUGUGUGAACCUACGUGUAAGAGCUUGGUAAGAGGGUUACUGCGUGGUGUGCCAUCUACCCCAACACAUGAAACAUCGGUGUUAGAAAGGAAAGAAGGGUCAGGCAGGUCUUGUUCCCUAAGGACACUACGGGCUGCACCUGUGUCAACUAAAAAGGUUGUUGGGUGACCCUCCACGGGGAGAACUACAGUAGCUAAAGGUCCUCCCCCAUCCCCCGCAGACACUGCCAUGGCAGGGGUUGGUGACACAGGCUUGCCAGUUACCUAUUGCAAUAAAUCUAGGUGAGCCUGAUCUGGGCCCUGGUACCGGCGGGAAGUGGAAGGAGGGGUAGCAGUGUGCAUGGGGGGACGGGAUGGACGGAGGGCAUGGCGGGGAUGAGGCUGGUUGUCCUGGAAGUCAUCAGUAUCAUACCCUUCAGCGGAGGGCGAAGUGUAUGCACGGGCCUCCGCUACAGGGAGCCGGGCUUG